UACGUAGGGUGCAAGCGUUGUCCGGAAUUAUUGGGCGUAAAGAGCUCGUAGGCGGUUUGUCGCGUCUGCUGUGAAAACUGGAGGCUCAACCUCCAGCUUGCAGUGGGUACGGGCAGACUAGAGUGCGGUAGGGGAGAUUGGAAUUCCUGGUGUAGCGGUGGAAUGCGCAGAUAUCAGGAGGAACACCGAUGGCGAAGGCAGAUCUCUGGGCCGUAACUGACGCUGAGGAGCGAAAGCGUGGGGAGCGAACAGG
rnacentral:rRNA from 1 species